rnacentral:sRNA from 1 species
CCCCAGGCGCUGGGGAACUCUACUGCAGCUGCGCGGCCUGGCCCAGCCGGUGCGCCUCCUACUGCGACUGCGCAGCCUUGGUGCACGCCCUCUUCGCUCCUCCCAAAGGCUCCGCCUUCCGGCCGCUUCCUGCCCGGCGUGUUUGCGGCUCUCUG